GGCAGCCGCGGGGGCCGCCGCCGAGGGGAAGGGAGGGAGGAAGGGGGAGCCGGCGCUGAGGCGGCGGGCAGCUCCGCCGUCAAACGACCCCUCCCUUCCCCCGCCGCGGACGGAGCGGGCCGGCCGGCCGCGCUGAGGCGGUGAGGCGAGGCGCAGGGCCGUCGGUGCCUCGCGCGGCGGCGGGCGGCCGGCCGGCCGGCUGCUGAGGAGAGGCCCCUCGCGUGUGGCGGGGCGCGACGGAGCGGGGCGGGCCGGCGGGGCAGCUCCUCGGCGAGCCUGCCCCUCGGCGAGCCGGCCGCGCCGCGGUCUGCCUGCUUCGUGCGCCGGGCCGGCGGCGGAAAGGGGUAGCCGUGCCCAAAAUGCCCCGGCCGCCGCUGGCCCGUGGCUGUCGUUGCAUGGCGCCCAGGGAGGCGUCGGCCUUCGCAGGACAGUUUCGUAGGUAGUUUUUUUUGUUGGGUUUCAGGGUUGGUUUUUUUCUUACUUUUAGUUUGGGUUUUUUUGUUGGGUUUUUUUAUUUGACCUUACCCAUGGUCGGGACUAGCUGGGUUUGACGUUGGUGAAUGUCUUGGUGCAGAAGGCAUCUCACGGCAGAGGGAUGAAGUGGCGCCAGGAGGUGACACCCACUGCGUGGGUCUGAGAGCUAACAGUUGAGCUGGGGGGGUUGAAGGGUCUGUUUUGUCAUCAGGGGAAAGCUGGAGAGAAAAUGGGAAAGCUGGAACGGGGUGUUUAUUGAGGAGGGCUCUGUUAUGCAGGGGCGAAGUGGAUGGAGAGGGCCGUGCCGUCAAUCUGUCGGUCACCCGUCAGUCCGGUACACCCUACUGCGUACUUUGCCUGAAGACCUAAGUGGGCUUACGAGGGACAGGGUCGGGCUGUGUGGGCAGCAGCUUUGCCCCAGAUGGGGAAGGAAGAAGGAGAGGAAGAUCAGUGAAGAGCACUUUUGAAAAUGCCACCUUCCCCAAGGUAGAAACGCUGCUGAUGUGUGAUUUUACAAGAAAGAAAACUGCAUUUGAUGCCAUCUGCAGUCCUGGACCAAACCCAAACUGUAACUCAAACUGAAAUGGAGUUUGUUGUUCUAGUACUGGGUCAAAUACAAAACUGCCUUUAGCAGCCUGCUCUCAGGAGAGAUUCUCUUAGAAUGAGGUAGUCGGGAGACUGAAUUACUGCUCGCCGUCUUACGUGGUGUUCCAAGGUCAAAGUUAGGAAUAUAAGUGGAAAUGCAGAAAUGAACUCUUUGAUUUGAGGUUGUUGGAGAUGACAGCUGUUGUUUAGCUGGGACUUGCUUAGAUGGAAGAAUAUACCUUGAAAAUUAUUUUAACUAGGUAGGUAGGCAUAGGGCUCAUCAUUUUCUGGAUGAGCCUUUUGCUUCAGACUGCAGACUAGAAUCAAAUUGAAAGUGUUGGAGUCCACUUCUGGCAGAGCAGGUCAAACAAGUCCUACCUAAUCCAGCCUGAUGCUCAUUCUUCAUGAUCUACAAGAUUAUUAUAAACUAAUCUGUUAGUCAUUGAAAAAUCAGCUAAUGUUAUUUCUGGCCAGACCAGUCUCGCUUCCUGUGGAAUAAAGGCUGUGUAGAGCAAAAGUGAAAUAAUCAUGCAGUACAUUAUUGAAAAUCUAGGACUUGCCUUUGGUGUGUACAGGAAAAAUUUAAAAUAGUAAACUGCUGGGUUUUGUACUGUGCUUGCUUCUUUAUUUUGCGCAGCAGCUGAUAGUUUUUUGUGGCAUUGUAAGGAUUCAGUGUAGAAUUCAACUGUCUAAAGCUUUACCUCACAUUUACACUAUUUACUCCAUAGCAGCUAGCGUCAGUGUUGUUUGGACUUGCCAGCACUGGGUAAAGGAAAUAGAGUGUACAAAUAAGGCUUAACUAGGCUUACUAAUUGCACUAAGUGCUUAAAAUAUCUUUCAGAAAACUAUUAAAAGAAGUCUAUGAGAUAAAAGAUAUUAGGGAGAUAUUUAUGUCAAAACAAUGUUGUAAAGCACUUCAGUGAGAGAGCAGAUGUUUGAAAACAACUGUUUUCAGUAGGCAACAAUUACCACAUAUUUUUAUUUGUGUCUGUCUAUGUCAUUGAUGACUGUUGAUAUAAAAUGUACUCUCACAGUAAGUUCAAAGACAACCACCUACCUACUAAUUUUGUGAUAUGCAACAUUUACCGGUAAUCCUCCCUAUAGCCUUUCCUUUGUAGUCAUCUUCUGUAUGAAACUAUAUUUAUUGGAAUUUGUGCAGACCUUGAUCCUCAAGUGACUUCAAUGAAACCGUCAUGUACAUCAAAAUAAGCUUAAAAGAUUUCACUGCACCCCUCCUAUACCCCAAACAGAUCAUUCUUAUGCUCUAAGAAUGAAUUACGCCGCACUGUUAACUUUAAGAAAGUAAUUCUAAGUAAUCAAGAUCCUGAUAACAGUUUACUUCUAAAGCUUCACAAUGAAACUAUAAAAGUCCUAUCAGAAUAGAAGAUUUUGUGAUUAAUGGCAAGUACUCGUGGAUUUCUGUCAUGCUGCCUGGAAACUGCAAUUUGUGCUCCCCAAACAGGUCUGCUGGAAGCCCUUUAGCAACCUCAAGCUCUCAGGUGCCUCCACAUCAUGUAUAACAGCAGCAGUUCAGCAGUGUGGAGGACCAUGGAAUAUCAAGUAUUUCCUGGCCACAGGAGUAAACUAGGUGCAGGAGGACACAUUCAAAGGUUCAGGAAACCUGUGUGAGAGGGAGGCCAAACUGACACCCUGGAGUCUCCUAGCCCCAAGGCAAAGACAUUUGGUAUCACGGAGGAGUUGCUCAAGCUCUCACAGCGUGGGCACCAACUGCCAGAGACAGUUCCUGACCUGUGAAGCUUUCAAAGGAGGUGCACAAGGCAGACGUGGAGGCUAUCAUCUCUGACAGCAGGGAGACUCGACACGACACCUAGGGUGAUGCUAUGAUGAGACUGAAUCAUGUUAUUGAAUCAGAAGUGUCAUCAGAUCAUAUCACGCACUGUGAGAACGUGUAGGUACCACGGUCCUCGUCCCAAAGCACUUACGGUCCAAGCCAGAGAGAUUGUAAGGGGGAGGACCAUAGUAAAGUAGGGACAUCGGUGCUAUUUUGAAUGUUGUGAUUUAUAGCUGUAUUUUUUCAAUAAAGCCUAUUUUUUAUUUUAUUG